GCAAAAUCAGACCACCACUGUGGUUAAAUCUGGGAAAGGCAGUGAAUUCCUUACUACCUGCUGCUUCACACUGUAUUUUUCUCCAUCCAGGUUAAAAAGAACAAUUCACCCUACUACUGUCUUUAUUAUUUAAGCAACUGUUGUUUUCACUUGUGAUAGCCCAGCUCUGCUUCUGGAAACAGGAGAGGUUUUGCAAAGUUCCAUGUGUUUUUUUCACUGUUUUUUGCAAAGUCAUGUCUAAUUUUUUCAUUGAUCUCCUUUUACAUAUAAAAUAAAUGUUGUUUCUUCCUCAAAUACUUGUUCUAAUAUUAAAGUUUUACACCUGAGUAUCAGUACUAAAGCGUGAAAUAAAAAUACCACCCUUUGUUUCCUAGCCGCUUGUUAACUAUUCUCUAGCAGUUGUAACUUUGCUACAAAGCUAGAGGAGCUGUGCCUUUAUUAACCGUAUCUAGAUCUUUGGUUCUCUGGGAGCACUCAGGGUACCUUCAGUGAUGUAUCUGGCAUUCAAACAGUUGUCUUGGCUAGAGCAAGAGCUUUUUCUCUGAAAUUAGGGACCAAGUGGAUUUUAAAAGUAUAGCUGGUCAGAUGCAUUAGUAUUGCUGCAUACACUCUGAACACUUGCAGUUUAGGUUUGUAAUCAAAUUAUAGCUUGUUUCUAAUUGUAAACCUGGAAAUAAGCAAUGCUGGAACUCAGCACUGCGAUAACCAGUUUUGUAUGAGGUAUUAAACAUUCAGCAUGAAUUUCGACAUGUUAAUCUCAGCUAAGAGCUGUUAGAAGAGAUGGGCGAGCAUGGAAGUAAAGUGUUGGAAUGAGAAGCAGCAUUCACCAUCCUGGAGUCUGAUUCUGAUACUGCUUUAGCCACAGCAAAGGGACAGCACAAUCCUGAAAGCCAGCCAGUUCUCAUGCCAUAAUCUGGAGUGGCCGACCGGAAUUCACAUCAUUAGCUGUUCAUUUGACUUUGGGCCUGGCUGCGUUUCAUCAGUGUAAAUCUAAAACGCCCCACUUGGCCUGCACUGCUGAAUAAAAUGGGUACAUUUUUUUAUUGUCUUGGCUCAGUUGAGUUGCUUAACAUGGUUUAUAAAACAUUGUCAAGAUGCAGAUGUUAAUAUGAAAAAUUUUUUUAAGCUGCCUUUAUUGUCCAGUGAAACUAAAGCAUGCGUUACACAGCCCACAUGGCUUCAGAUGUUUUAGCUUGCAGCUGAACUCUUCCUUUCUGAGAUACCUUGGGUUGCAGUGCACCUUUCUUACUUUCAGGACAUGUUCAUUCAUUACAGCAAAAUUACUGUAUUUUUACUUCUUGCAAGGGAGAACAAGGUGUCUUUCUCUGUGUUUAGAGUAGCAUUUGCUUUUCAGUGCUGUGCAGGUGUUAGCCAUUCUGAUGCUGCUGAGGCCAGGCCAAUUCCCUGAUUUCUUUAGAUGAAAUACCACUUCAUGCCAUGAUGUUGCUAUAGAGCUGUGAGUAAGCUCCAUGCCCAACGUGCAAAAAAAAAAAUAAUUGCAGCAAAAGAAUACAGCAGAAUAAUUUUUCAUGUUGCAUUGAAGUUCUGUGGGUCCUCUGCAAAGCAGCAUUUCUAAUCUCUUGCUCACCACAAAUUUGGGGUUUUGUUUGUCAGCAAAAGCCAAAAAGCCUGUUUGUUUCCAAUAGUUUUUUUAACUACACUUCACGGUCUUUCAGGGAUUUCAGUUUAAAAAGGUGCUGGUUGAGGAGUAAGGUUUACUUCUCCAAGUACCACUGGGCUUAUUUGUUUGUUCUCUACAUUAAUCUUCCAUAGGUUUCUGCAUGCUAAUUCUUACGAGUGUUUGGCCAUUUUCCAGUGUUAGUUAUAGGAAGAAUAAACCCAGGAGUACAUUUUUAAAGAUAUGGUGUUACUACCGUUAAGUACCAAAUACCUAAGAUUUAAAUCUGGCCCAGAUUGAAAUAUCGGCUACAAAUAGAAGAUUCUCUAUUUGUACAAGUAGUGGGAAUUUUACUCUAUCCCAGGAAAUGUGGGAUUUUAAUGUGCCUCGAGUUCAAAGAGAAAUAGCAUGUGCAGAAUAGGGGGGGGGGGGGGGGGGGGGAUCAUAACAGGCUAGUAUUUGAAAUGAGCUGUUCAUUUAUCUGCUUUGCUCUGUGCAUGUUAGGGGUCAACCAACUUUGCAUUACUGGACAAAAAGCUCUCCUGACCAGAUACUGUCUCAUGAAAUGGAUGAUUGAAACAACAGGAGCACACUUCAAAUAAUCACCGGUCACCAUUGGCACAGAAGAAAUUUCCCCUUCUCACACUCGGAGCCUUACACACAUGAUGGUUCCUCAUGAAUUACCUCCAUUCAUCACAGACUCAAGACUGUGAAGCAUCCACCUUCAAAAGGCACGAUUUACGUCAUGAAACCUCCAAACCUGCCAGCACUAAGGGGAGGAAGGAAGCUCCAAGAAGAGAGGAAAACCACACAAAGUCUAUUGGAAACACUGCACAGCAUCACGCCUGUCUUAAAAGAGGAUCUUACGAUAGUGUGUCCUCGAACAGCAUGAGGACUGCGAGCAUCCGAAUUAAUUCCUCCUCAUUCCUAGGCAGUGUGAGGUGAGGUUUGCAGUGGGAAGGGUUAUAAAUCUGAUCCGCACGGAUUUAGUGGCUGAGGAGCUCCCGGGAAGGAUCUGAGCUUAGAGUACUUGGACAAUAACCAAGGCUGUCGUCUCUCUACCUGCCCCAUGUAAGACAAGCAAAGUUUUGCUUGUCUUGUAUAAGCAAACUUUUAGUGAUGUGGGACUGGUCAAUAUGGUAAAAAUAUAAACUUUGAUGGUGGCAAAAGUGGGAAGAUUGUUCCAAAGCCAAAUUCAAGCUCAAUUUUUCAGCAAGUCAGAACUUAAGUUCUGAGUCACUCAGAAGAUAUUUUUCUUUCCUUAUCUUAGUCCAUUUUUAUAAAUUUUAAAGUGUAAGAGGCAAAAUUCUCUAGUCCCUUUUAACCUAAAGGAAAUAAUGUAUGUAUAUGUAUUUUGCAACUUAAAGCUGCAUUUUAAAAAUAGAGCAGAACUAUUCAGCACUGUG